rnacentral:rRNA from 1 species
AUUGAACGCUGGCGGCAUGCCUUACACAUGCAAGUCGAACGGCAGCGGACCUUCGGGCGCCGGCGAGUGGCGAACGGGUGAGUAAUAUAUCGGAACGUACCUUUCAGUGGGGGAUAACGUAGCGAAAGUUACGCUAAUACCGCAUAUUCUGUGAGCAGGAAAGCAGGGGAUCGCAAGACCUUGCGCUGAUUGAGCGGCCGAUAUCAGAUUAGCUAGUUGGUGAGGUAAAGGCUCACCAAGGCGACGAUCUGUAGCGGGUCUGAGAGGAUGAUCCGCCACACUGGAACUGAGACACGGUCCAGACUCCUACGGGAGGCAGCAGUGGGGAAUUUUGGACAAUGGGCGCAAGCCUGAUCCAGCCAUGCCGCGUGAGUGAAGAAGGCCUUCGGUUGUAAG